rnacentral:rRNA from 1 species
CCUACGGGAGGCAGCAGUGGGGAAUUUUGGACAAUGAGGGCAACCCUGAUCCAGCAAUGCCGCGUGAGUGAAGAAGGCCUUCGGGUUGUAAAGCUCUUUUGUCAGGAAAGAAAUCGUUCUGGAUAAUACCUGGGACGGAUGACGGUACCUGAAGAAUAAGCACCGGCUAACUACGUGCCAGCAGCCGCGGUAAUACGUAGGGUGCAAGCGUUAAUUGGAAUUACUGGGCGUAAAGCGUGCGCAGGCGGUUGUGCAAGACAGAUGUGAAAUCCCCGGGCUUAACCUGGGAACUGCAUUUGUGACUGCACGGCUAGAGUGUGUCAGAGGGGGGUUAGAAUUCCACGUGUAGCAGUGAAAUGCGUAGAUAUGUGGAGGAAUACCGAUGGCGAAGGCAGCCCCCUGGGAUAACACUGACGCUCAUGCACGAAAGCGUUGGGGGAGGACGAACAGAGUAGUAUACCUACGGUACGUACCGACCGACCCGUAACCGUACGUGUACUACUAGUUGGUUCGGGUUCGUUA